CCCUCAUACAGAACGACUCUUCUUGCUACGGCUGGGUACCACCACGGAGCUGCUCCGUGCUGUCCCGUAUAUCAGCAGUGCCAGAAGAGAUCCUCACAUCAGAAGGCAAGGGCAGCCUGAGCUAAACAGCUGGCUGGAUUUGCAUGAAAAUGGACUGCCCUUUUUCAUUUGUUUGUUCUUUGGAAAUUACAGUAGGAAAGCCGCAUAGGCAAUUGCUCCCACUUUGCUCAGCUCCCAGCAGAUCGCAAGGCACUGUUGUAAGAUGGCACUUGCUAAGGACUCACCGGGAAUAUUUCUAAUCUAUAAUUCAAGCUUCAGUCUGAAGAAACAACUCCGGGGUGAAAUCCCUCUUUGUGGAGGGAAGAAAAAUGAUUUCAUUGUAAGAAGGCAUUUUUUUAAGGUUGCACCAGGUUGGACAAGAAUGCUGCCUGGUCAAAGGCAAGAAGAGGUGGAGCAGUGUGGGUUUUAUUUAUUAUGACUCUUUUUCUCCAGUAAUAUAUUGUAUCUUUUUUAAUCAAGCCAAUUAAACUAAGGUAACAGACAAUAAAUAUUCUCCAAUUAGUUCAGUGUCACCACCUG